rnacentral:rRNA from 1 species
AAGGGCAACGCAGCUUGUAAAGCUCUUUCAUCGAGUGUGCGAUUGUGACAAGACUCGAAUAAGAAGCCCCGGCUAACUCCGUGC